rnacentral:rRNA from 1 species
GGACAAUGGGCGCAAGCCUGAUCCAGCCAUGCCGCGUGUCUGAAGAAGGCCUUCGGGUUGUAAAGGACUUUUGUCAGGGAAGAAAAGGCUGUUGCUAAUAUCAGCGGCUGAUGACGGUACCUGAAGAAUAAGCACCGGCUAACUACGUGCCAGCAGCCGCGGUAAUACGUAGGGUGCGAGCGUUAAUCGGAAUUACUGGGCGUAAAGCGGGCGCAGACGGUUACUUAAGCAGGAUGUGAAAUCCCCGGGCUCAACCCGGGAACUGCGUUCUGAACUGGGUGACUCGAGUGUGUCAGAGGGAGGUAGAAUUCCACGUGUAGCAGUGAAAUGCGUAGAGAUGUGGAGGAAUACCGAUGGCGAAGGCAGCCUCCUGGGAUAACACUGACGUUCAUGCCCGAAAGCGUGGGUAGCAAACAGGAUUAGAUACCCUGGUAGUCCACGCCCUAACGAUGUCAAUUAGCUGUUGGGCAACUUGAUUGCUUAGUAGCGUAGCUAACGCGUGAAAUUGACCGCCUGGGGAGUACGGUCGCAAGAUUAAAACUCAAAGGAAUGACGGACCC